AGCUCGCAACUCGAUAUUUCAGGUACAUAAUUUUGUUCUCUUCCUAGUAUUUUGUUUCUUUUUUGGUUAAUAGGGCUAGUGCUUAUCCACUCAAGACUUUCUGUUUUCAAAAUCAUUGUCAUCAUUUUGCCAUUUUGCUUGGGUUAGACUUCACACAUGGAGAUUUGUUGUUGAUUAAUAGUAGGCCGCGGAAAUUAAUUAAGGUAGGAAAAACAGGUGACAAAUAACUCGUGUGCAGAGUGCGGAGCAGAUUAAAAU
rnacentral:lncRNA from 1 species